GAUGAACGCUGGCUACAGGCUUAACACAUGCAAGUCGAGGGGAAACGACGGGGAAGCUUGCUUCCCCGGGCGUCGACCGGCGCACGGGUGAGUAACGCGUAUCCAACCUGCCUCUGACUGAGGGAUAACCCGUCGAAAGUCGGCCUAAUACCUCAUGGCAUCGUCUGCGGGCAUCCAACGACGAUUGAAGAUUUCAUCGGUCAGGGAUGGGGAUGCGUCUGAUUAGCUUGUUGGCGGGGUAACGGCCCACCAAGGCUACGAUCAGUAGGGGUUCUGAGAGGAAGGUCCCCCACAUUGGAACUGAGACACGGUCCAAACUCCUACGGGAGGCAGCAGUGAGGAAUAUUGGUCAAUGGGCGGGAGCCUGAACCAGCCAAGUAGCGUGCAGGAUGACGGCCCUAUGGGUUGUAAACUGCUUUUAUGCGGGGAUAAAGUGAGGGACGUGUCCUUCAUUGCAGGUACCGCAUGAAUAAGGACCGGCUAAUUCCGUG
rnacentral:rRNA from 1 species